UUUUCGAUUUUGUUUUAUUUGUCUUUUGUAUACUGGGACUUGUUCUCAAAUUUAGGCAAACUGCAACGAGAAUAUAAAGUUGAGCGUAUGUAACCAUCCCUAUUGUGAUAACCGAUUGAUAGUUGGUUAUCAAUGGAAGAUACCAAAACUGCAUUUGACACAUUCCUAAGUACUGGAGGAGGUGAAACUACUGUAGAAGACCAGUCGAUCAUUUCAUAGUACUUAGUGGCAUUAGAUUAUACAUAUCGAGUGAAGAGCCCUCCGAAAACUUAGUUCACAUAGUUACAUUUAUAAUGAAAGUGUAUUUACCUACUUGGUUUCAAAUAAAAAUGAGUGAUUCAAUAACAGAUGGUGCGAGACAUGUCUUCAUUAUGAUUAAAAAUUCUCGAUACUUGCCAAAACGUCUUUUAAAAGUAGUUGAUCCUGUAAUUCAACACAAUGCUUAUUUCGCGCAUCCUGAAAAUUUGCUUUUGUCUAUGCUCACAGAUGAAAAUCUUAAUUUACGUAAGAUCGGGUUGCAAAGAAUUUUAAAAGCCAGAGAGAAGACUCCUACUGCGGAGACUUCGGUGCGCUCGUUCCUUUUGCCAAAACUAAACUUUAAUGCCACUAAGUACUAUGAAAUGAUCGACUGGUCUUCUAUAGUAGUAUCACCUCCUCCAGUACUUAGGAAUGUGUCAAAUGCAGUUUUGGUAUCUUCCAUUGAUAACCAACUAUCAAUCGGUCAAAGCAACUUGCUAAGCUUUCCAUGCCACACUCAAGCAGUAGAGCGAACUGUUAAGCUUAUUACUGAAGCGUCGAAGAAGUUUGCCUAAAUUUGAGAACAAGUCCCAGUAUACAAAA